AAUUAUGGUUUAUAAUUUGCACCAUAUUCCAUGUCUAGGUUACCUGUUUACAGAAAUGCUCAGCAUGAAGAGGAGUUUCUAUAUCUGUUCUGCCAUCACAUUUUCCUACUUCAGAGCAUUUACUUAGUCCGGUUGGUUGUCUGUCUGUGUAUUCACAAACUUUCACAAUCAACUCAAUAGGGAAUAAAGUUUUUUUUUUCAGCAGCUUCAUGUGCAGUCUCCUUAAGUACUUUUUCCUAUGACUUGGUCACUUUUCUCCCUCUCAUUGUAUAAAGACUUUCUCAUACUACUCUAUAUUGAUCAUUAGGCCAGAUUACAGUGGGUUGAAGAGUUACUAGGAAGUGCCAAGUUGAGGGUAGCUGGCAUACGAGAUGGGAUGAGAAUGGAGGAUAAAAAUUGGACAAUAUUUUAUAAUUAAAUGAUAACUGUAAGAAGAUUAAGAAGUUUUCCACAAAUGUUCAAAAGUAUUAUAUACAGAGUCACUAAAUUCCUUGACUCUUAUAUGUGGUUGAUUAGAACUAUAAAAUAGUAAUAUUUUGCAUAUGUCUAUUGACGGAUCACACCAUGGAUUAUUACUGCUCUCUAUAUGAUCUUGAAUAGGGAGUCCUUAGCAUUUUAAAAUCUAACCAAAUUAGUAAAUUCCAGAAACUCUAAAGCCAAUUCAGGAAACUUAUCCUUAAAAUUUUGUUGCUCU
rnacentral:lncRNA from 10 species